GACUCUCGAUAAUGGAUUUCUUGGCUCUCGCAUCAAUUUAGAACGUAGCAAAAUAUGAUACUUAGUGUGAAUUGCAAAAUCCCAUGAACCAUUGAGUCUUUGAAUGCGAGUUGUGUCCGAAGCCAUUAGGCCAAGGGCAAGUCUACCUAGGCAUCA